rnacentral:rRNA from 1 species
GACGAACGCUGGCGGCGUGCUUAACACAUGCAAGUCGAACGGAAAGGCCCUGCUUUUGUGGGGUGCUCGAGUGGCGAACGGGUGAGUAACACGUGAGUAACCUGCCCUUGACUUUGGGAUAACUUCAGGAAACUGGGGCUAAUACCGGAUAGGAGCUCCUGCUGCAUGGUGGGGGUUGGAAAGUUUCGGCGGUUGGGGAUGGACUCGCGGCUUAUCAGCUUGUUGGUGGGGUAGUGGCUUACCAAGGCUUUGACGGGUAGCCGGCCUGAGAGGGUGACCGGCCACAUUGGGACUGAGAUACGGCCCAGACUCCUACGGGAGGCAGCAGUGGGGAAUAUUGCACAAUGGGCGGAAGCCUGAUGCAGCAACGCCGCGUGCGGGAUGACGGCCUUCGGGUUGUAAACCGCUUUCGCCUGUGACGAAGCGUGAGUGACGGUAAUGGGUGAAGAAGCACCGGCUAACUACGUGCCAGCAGCCGCGGUGAUACGUAGGGUGCGAGCGUUGUCCGGAUUUAUUGGGCGUAAAGGGCUCGUAGGUGGUUGAUCGCGUCGGAAGUGUAAUCUUGGGGCUUAACCCUGAGCGUGCUUUCGAUACGGGUUGACUUGAGGAAGGUAGGGGAGAAUGGAAUUCCUGGUGGAGCGGUGGAAUGCGCAGAUAUCAGGAGGAACACCAGUGGCGAAGGCGGUUCUCUGGGCCUUUCCUGACGCUGAGGAGCGAAGGCGUGGGGAGCGAACAGGCUUAGAUACCCUGGUAGUCCACGCUGUAAACGGUGGGUACUAGGUGUGGGGUCCAUUCCACGGGUUCCGUGCCGUAGCUAACGCUUUAAGUACCCCGCCUGGGGAGUACGGCCGCAAGGCUAAAACUCAAAGGAAUUGACGGGGCCCCGCACAAGCGGCGGAGCAUGCGGAUUAAUUCGAUGCAACGCGUAGAACCUUACCUGGGUUUGACAUGGAUCGGGAGCGCUCAGAGAUGGGUGUGCCUCUUUUGGGGUCGGUUCACAGGUGGUGCAUGGCUGUCGUCAGCUCGUGUCGUGAGAUGUUGGGUUAAGUCCCGCAACGAGCGCAACCCUUGUUCACUGUUGCCAGCACGUUAUGGUGGGGACUCAGUGGAGACCGCCGGGGUCAACUCGGAGGAAGGUGGGGAUGACGUCAAGUCAUCAUGCCCCUUAUGUCCAGGGCUUCACGCAUGCUACAAUGGCUGGUACAGAGAGUGGCGAGCCUGUGAGGGUGAGCGAAUCUCGGAAAGCCGGUCUCAGUUCGGAUUGGGGUCUGCAACUCGACCUCAUGAAGUCGGAGUCGCUAGUAAUCGCAGAUCGGCAACGCUGCGGUGAAUACGUUCCCGGGGCU